rnacentral:rRNA from 1 species
CAGUCGCCACGGGAAUACGUAGGUGGCAAGCGUUGUCCGGAAUUAUUGGGCGUAAAGCGCGCGCAGGUGGUUUAAUAAGUCUGAUGUGAAAGCCCACGGCUCAACCGUGGAGGGUCAUUGGAAACUGUUAAACUUGAGUGCAGGAGAGAAAAGUGGAAUUCCUAGUGUAGCGGUGAAAUGCGUAGAUAUUGGGAGGAACACCGGCGGCGAAGGCGGCUUACUGGACGACAACUGACGUUGAGGCUCGAAGGCGUGGGGAGCAAACAGGAUUAGAUACCCCUGUAGUCCCUGUCUCUUAUAA